rnacentral:rRNA from 1 species
UACGUAGGGUGCAAGCGUUGUCCGGAAUUAUUGGGCGUAAAGAGCGUGUAGGCGGCCAAGCAGGUCCGUUGUGAAAACUGGAGGCUUAACCUCCAGACGUCGACGGAAACCGCGCGGCUAGAGUCCGGAAGAGGAGAGUGGAAUUCCUGGUGUAGCGGUGAAAUGCGCAGAUAUCAGGAAGAACACCAAUGGCGAAGGCAGCUCUCUGGGACGGUACUGACGCUGAGACGCGAAAGCGUGGGGAGCGAACAGG